CUUGUGAUGAAGUGUUGACAACUUCAACAGUUGAUGGCCAAGAACAAGAUGUAUGGCUUCAUCUUAGCAUUGGCUCUGGUUUUAUCACCGGUUUGUGGACAGCUUUUAUUAUUAUGUUGUUCAAAAAAACUUGGAGGGUUGUGUAUUUUCGAUAUGUGGACAGCAUGUGUGAUGGUAUAUCUGUUGCAAUUCUUUUGAAGUUCACUAGAUUAAAGAGGAAAUAUCGAAUCGACGACCAUCCAAUACAUUGAUACCUGCAAUUCAAAUUCAUGAAGGAAGGCAAGGAUGAAUUUGCAUAAUGAAAAGUAUUAUCUUGUGCUGAGCUUGUAGUUGGUCUUGCAUCAACUUACGUCCAGCUAUUUCCGGCCUUUGCUGCACAAAGCAUUCAUCCUUUAAUUUGGAACAGAUAAGCUCUUUGUUUUAGUGUGUUUGUUUAAAUAUGCAAUGUGAUUUACUAUGAUUGGGAAUUUCGUUGUUUUAAAAGGACGUGGUGGCAGUUGCUUUCAUAUGUGAAUCUAGUUUUGUAUGUGGUCUAAUUUAUCUCAUGUUUAUCCGUAUUAGAAAAACAGAGCAGAUAUUUAUAACAAUUGUGAGCUCCUCAACUGUGAAUAAUAUAUGCUUUCAAAUGA